GACGAACGCUGGCGGCAUGCCUAACACAUGCAAGUCGAGCGAGCAGAUCCCUUCGGGGUGAAGCUAGCGGCGGACGGGUGAGUAACACGUGGGCAACCUGCCUCAUAGAGGGGAAUAGCCUCCCGAAAGGGAGAUUAAUACCGCAUAAGAUUGUAGUUCCGCAUGGAACAGCAAUCAAAGGAGCAAUCCGCUAUGAGAUGGGCCCGCGGCGCAUUAGCUAGUUGGUGAGGUAACGGCUCACCAAGGCGACGAUGCGUAGCCGACCUGAGAGGGUGAUCGGCCACAUUGGGACUGAGACACGGCCCAGACUCCUACGGGAGGCAGCAGUGGGGAAUAUUGCACAAUGGGGGAAACCCUGAUGCAGCAAUGCCGCGUGAGUGAUGACGGCCUUCGGGUUGUAAGGCUC
rnacentral:rRNA from 1 species